AUGGUGACAGGGGAUAGGGAAAAGGCAGAACUGCUUAAUGCCUUCUUUGCCUCGGUCUUCUCACAAAAAGAAAGCCAUCUUCAACCUCAGCAACAUGGAAUGGACGAAGGAUUGGGGGAAAUCCAACCCCAAAUAGGGAAACAAGUUGUCCAGGAACACCUGGCAAUCAUCUUCGAGAGUUCUUGGAGAACGGGAGAAGUCCCAGCAGAUUGGAGGAGGGCGAAUGUGGUCCCUAUCUUCAAGAAGGGAAAAAAGAACGACCCAAACAAUUACCGUCUGGUCAGCCUCACAUCAAUACCAGGCAAGAUUCUGGAAAAGAUCAUUAAGGAAGUGGUCUGCGAACACUUAGAAACAAAUGCGGUCAUUGCUAAUAGUCAACACGGAUUUACCAAUAACAAGUCAUGCCAGACUAAUCUGAUCUCUUUUUUCGAUAGAGUUACGAGUUGGGUCGAUACAGGGAAUGCCGUGGAUGUAGCGUACCUGGAUUUCAGUAAGGCCUUCGACAAAGUCCCCCACGACCUAAUAGCAAACAAACUAGUAAAAUGUGGGCUAGACAAAACUACGGUUAGGUGGAUCUGUAAUUGGCUAAGCGAACGAACCCAAAGGGUGCUCACCAAUGCAUCGUCUUCAUCAUGGAAAGAAGUGACAAGUGGAGUGCCGCAGGGCUCCGUCCUGGGCCCGGUUCUGUUCAACAUCUUUAUUAAUGACUUAGACGAAGGGUUAGAAGGCACGAUCAUCAAGUUUGCAGACGACACCAAACUCGGAGGGAUAGCUAACACUCCAGAAGACAGGAGCAGAAUUCAAAACGAUCUUGACAGACUAGAGAGAUGGGCCGAAACUAUCAAAAUGAAGUUCAACAGGACAAAUGCAAGAUACUUCACUUCGGCAGAAAAAAUGGAAAUCAAAGAUACAGAAUGGGGGACGCCUGGCUUGACAGCAGUGUGUGCGAAAAAGACAAGUGGAGUGCCGCAGGGCUCCGUCCUGGGCCCGGUUCUGUUCAACAUCUUUAUUAAUGACUUAGACGAAGGGUUAGAAGGCACGAUCAUCAAGUUU
rnacentral:lncRNA from 1 species